AGAAGGCACAAGGCAAAGCUUCUACAAUGGGCUCCUGCAUGCGUGGCUUAACUGCAACCAUCGGCUGCAUUGCACAGGGCUCCGCUGACUCAAGUGAUCCCCCCCGCGGGCCGAGCUCAGCAGAGGAGUGAAGAGGGGGAACCUCGCGUGCAAGGGAAGAGCAACACGCCGAUGCGUGCACGGCGGGCACUCGACCACAAACACACUCCGAGGCUCACACAAUAUCCCUCUCACUCGUGGGUUGUGACCGGCCCAUGGCAUUGGCCAGAUGCCUUUUGGCCUCUCCUUCCUGCCCGCCGUCAUCGCCGCGGAUCCAGUGACCCGACAGCUCGGCCCAGUCGGCGUACUUGGCCAUAUCUGCAUGCGACCUGUCUGCCAUAUGUAAUAUCAAAGCCUCUGUCAGCACCGAGCUCAAUGGGAACAAAAGAGAGGCCUUCAUUAAUGAUUAACUGUUCUAAAAGCCCCGGCUUUUGUAUUCCCAUGGUGCCGAGGCUAUCUGGCCGCCAUGUGACAUGCUCGCAGCGUUUUUCGAGCAGAUUGGGGAAAGCUAGUGAGCAAACACAGGUGCUUUGGAGCGGCGUUGGCGACGCUGUCAGGGACAACCACAAACAAGAGCAGCUAUGCCUGGCUAAAUGAAUCCCGCCUGCCACCCCCCAGGACCCCCCCUCCCCGUCUCCCUGUCACUGGCUAACUUGUUUGCAAGGCCGCACAGCCUUCCUUAUGGAGAGUAGCUGCAACCCCCCCCACCACAAAAGUCCAACGUCCACCGCAACUUCUCACACCCCUCCAAAGAAACAAACAAAUAAAAGUGAGGACGGCCGACUGCUUCUUUGAGGUGAUGGCAUUUGCGGCUGGUCUUGACUAGUAGAAGAGCAAACAAAUUAACGGUGUUCCAGUUUUCACUUUCCAAACCAAACUAAAUGUCUUUUAGUUCAAGUGGGGCAAUUCCACUGACCUCAGUGUCAACCGCUGUGUAAGGACUUGCACGCUCACGCACUUGAAAUAACCAGAACGAAAUUACACAGGGCUCGAGUACGACCGCACACACGGCGGGUGUAUUAAUACGCGGCAAAGUGACAGGUCACAAACAAAUCUUCCUGAAAUAGUACGCGCAUUGAUUUGGACCCCAACUUGAACUGAGAGCGUGCGGCAAUUAACCUUUUCAUCCAGACUGACUUGAUUGUUCACCCCGACUGAGCUCCUGUGUCGCUCUUUACUUUGAUAAGACAAUCUGAUGAUAGGAUGCCGUUAUCUUAACACGGCUUUCCGGUUGGGAGACAAAUGAACAAUGUGUGAUAACGGGAACAAAAGCUCACCUCUUAUUGGCCCAACCGGCUUUCCGAUGGAAAAAUCACCAGCAUGGAAAAUUCACCAUUUCAUUUUCAAUUUUCUUCCCAGGCCUUUUAAAAGCAGUCAUACAUUUAUAAUGUCUCUUGUUGCUGUUUAAAUUUCGUGCUCAGUAAUUAACCCGGCCUAUAAAGCAUUUAUUGUCUGGAAAGAUGAUAAAAAUGUACUUAGACAAACAUUUGGAAUAAACCGCAGAGGAAAUGAAGUUGUAAACACAAGGAAGACCGAUUUGCAAUUAGAUCACAAAGCGUCAGUAAAAACAUAAAAAGAGGGGGUAAAAUUGAUGUUUUCGUAUGUGGAGCAGAGAAAGAGGCAUUUCCAUUCUUUUCUGCAGAUCACAAUUCUCAAUUCUCUCAAGCAAUUGUAGUGCUAAAAUGUAAAAAAAAAAAAAAGACAAAAAUGACUGUGCUAUAUUCUCUUGAAUCCAAAAUCAACUCCAUCAGUGUUGCGUGUGUUUCAAUUUCCAUUUUUGAGGUGACGUCACGCUUACUCGAAUCUUCUUCAAUCCAUCCGUCUCUAGACCUGUCAGUUAUUUGCAUGAUCAUAUUUCUCCUUAAGCGAUUCAAAAAGGAUUUGCCAUGAGCAGAGAUGUAUUCAAAGAGGCUCAAGUCAUUCCCCGUCCUGCUGGAUUUAUCCUCAACUGGCCGUGAGCGGAGUCCGAUGAGAGGAGUUACAAAAGCCUCACUUUCAAGCUCCUUACUGUAAUUGUAAAUGCGAGGGCCCAACAUCUCGAGAGGGAUUUCAGACAUCUUUGUUACCUCCUCAUUGGGCGCUGCUGAAGUCGUCCACGGGCCCGAUUGUCUGGCCAAACUGGCCUCAGACCUCGACUCAAUCAAAGGAAAGUUUGUCCUUAAUGAGGGAAGACAUGAAAGCUCGGCCACAUGUUGAAAAGGCUCUUUUCAUCUCGCCGCUCACAAUGGAGAAAUUUGAAAAGAGCAAAGUGUGCUUUCAGCUGCGAUACACGGCAUCAAGCCCUUGUCUUUUGACACCGAGAAAGAAGCAAUAUUCCUCUCUAUGGAGAAGGUACUUGAUGAGUAAUGGGGAUGGGAACCUUUGUGUUGAACAUGCUACCAUGAGAUCAAGGAGGAGAGCGAGUCGACCACUGCCAGAGGUAAAAUGUAUUGAAAAACACUGGGGAGCACAAUAUUUGUGAGUCAGGCCUGGCAGCUAUUUUGAACAAUUUUUCGGGGUGCAGAAUCCCAAACAGAUAUCAGGUUUCUCUCAUCAAGUUUUCUUUUUUCUUUAGCUAUAGGAUUCCUGUUUUCUUUAGAAAAUAUGACAUCAAUGGAGUAAAGAAAUCACUCAGCGGACAAGCUUUGAAAACAAACACGAAAAAAAAACAGCAUUAAAAAAAUAGAACGUCCAAUGGUAUGCUAAUGGUUACAAGGUUAAGAGAAAGACUAAUCCUCUUAAUUCCUCCUGUGCUAGCUUUCUAUUUGCGGAAAUUGAUAGUACUGACCUGUUGGGAGCCGCACACACCGCGCACCAAACUGUCUCAAUUGUUACCGCACAAACAAAUUGCCACGUAGCUGGAGAUAAGUCCAGUCGUAAUCAGCUCUUCUUAUUAUAGAUAAUCGGUGGAAUUUUGCUUUUCUGGAGGGUGUCAUGAUUCGUUUUUUUGUUUAUAUUAGGUUUGGUUGUGUUUCAUGUUUUUCUGUCAUGGCAUUUUGUUUGUUAAGGACUGCCAAGCUGCCUAGUCUCUUGUCGGAUUAUUAACCUUGCUCGCUGUAAUGCUUCAAGUGUUGUUUUCUGGACCUCUCUAUGCUCUCCAGAGUCACUCUUGUUCUUUGUAGAUUUUUGUUUGUAAGUAUUGUUAUUUUUCCACGUUGCUUUUGAUCUUUGGCUUUGCGUUACUGGCUUCUUGACGUUUCGUUUGUUUAUUCUUGGUGUUUCCAGUAGCUUGCCUUUUGCAAGCGCUUUUGUUUUUGCAUUGCUUCUCCUGGCGCCUUGUGACCGCCGAUUUCCGUUUGUACUUUGCCCGUGCGCUU